rnacentral:lncRNA from 11 species
GAUCUCCCAAGCACUGCCAUGUGUGAUCACUCAUGACUGAGUAUGAUUGCCUUCCAGAGGCAGAAUCUUGGCAGUGGAUCCGUAAGUGACUGUGAAGACUUAUUCUAAAUCUACAUGGUUUUCACACUGAGGACACAGAUUUCCAGAUGAAUGGUGGUCACGUAAGAUGCCAUUCAGGAAAUGUGGAAUAUCAAAGAACAAAGAUUAAGAUUGGAUAAAUGAAGCAAUGGAUUCAUAUAUAAAAAAAAACUCAAGCAAUUCCAAGG